GACCCUGUGGCUCAGUUGGUAGAGCAUUGCAAUUUCAAGAGCUGUGGGUUCAAUUCCCCCUGGGGCCA
rnacentral:tRNA from 1 species